UUGGUUUCUGUUGCAAUCUGCCAUAUCAGCUUCCCCUGUUAAAUCACCCCUAAUCAUUAAUAAUCAUGAUGGAGAUUAUGAUUAACAGAAUGACAAAACACUGACUUAAAAAAGGAAAAGAAAGAAAGAAUUCUACCAAAACUCUUUUAGCAAAGAAACCCCAGUAAUGGAAUGGCUAUGGGAUGAACUCUAUAUAUAUACACACGCAUGAAGAAAGGAAAAGAGAGGAUCUUUACAUUACCUUGCAGUAUAGAAAAGCAGAAACACAGAGAGAGAAGAGAAAGAGAGAAUAGAGAAUGGUUUGGAGUGAAGAGUUGAGAUAAGAAUAUGCAAAGUAAG
rnacentral:misc_RNA from 1 species